GGGCGCAUAGCUCAGUGGUAGAGCACUGCCUUCACACGGCAGGGGUCGCAGGUUCAAGCCCUGCUGCGCCCAACA
rnacentral:tRNA from 1 species